rnacentral:tRNA from 1 species
GAAACUCAGUGGUAGAGCAUCUGCUUUGCAUGCAGAAGGUCUCUGGUCCAAUCCUUGGCAUCUCCA